AAGCGGGGGUAAUCACAGUAUGCAAGCGUGUAACAAAAUGGUAUUAGACAUUGUAAAGAAGUAAAACUAAUAGAGAUAAUGAAAAGAUAACUUAUCAAUGGCUCACUAUCUCCCACACAGCUCUGUGAUACAUCCACGGUAUGGAUCCUGGUUCUCCCUGCAGCCUUUACUACCUGCCAUUUUCCAAGCUGUGUGGGAAAGAGAUCUCAGUCCGUGUGUGUGUUACAAUGUCUCGCAGCCAUCAGACUCUAGCCCAUCAUCGGCUAGCCGUGAUGAAGUUAGAAUGGUCGGGCUAGUAUGUCCGGUCCUGGGAGGGCGCAAGUUUUCUGGUUGGUAAUAGGUGGUGUAGUGGAAACAAGUCCAAUCCCAUGUAGGGGAGUCCCGGUUGUUAAUUUAGGUAGUCAGUUUAUAACUUAGUAGGUCUGAGAGGAUGCAUGUCAUUCUCCGGUAAGUCCC